AUUGCAAAUUAUAGCACAAUUAUCUCUGGACUUUUUCCACUUCCCAGUUCUUUCACGAAAGGUUGCAAAGGAUUAUGAAGCUGCAAAUUAAAUAUGUGUGUGGUAUACGCUGUGUUUAUGUGUGUUUGGACUUUUGGUAUCAUUGAAUGAGACAUCAAGGAAUUCUCUCCCCAAUAGCGUGUUCUAACUUCUAAUCCUACAUAUCUCUUUUGUUUUGAUUCUGGCUCAUUUUUCUAACCAGAUUUUUCAACAACCAGUUCUUCAGGUUCAAUGCAUGAUAAUGUCCAUAAUAGGCUAUUGGAUCCAAUGGCGUUAGGGACACGAUGAGAUUAUUGUUCAAAUGAUCAAAAAGAAAGGGAUAUUGUGAAAGAUGAAUUCUAGCUAGGCACUGGCUUACAGAUCUGGCUUAUGAUGAAUUAAUGGAGUCUUGUUCUACAUAACUGAAAAAUUACAGCAGCCUUAAUGCAUCAAAAGUUGGAUCCAAUGAUUGCGGACAUGUUGAUUGAUUGGGAUGUCUGGUCAAAACAUUGGAAAGUUGCAGAACUCUUUUGGUGUCACUGUUACCUUCUUGGGCUAAAUUAGUUGCCUUUGAGUGCUUCUGCCCUUGAAUCUGAUAGAGUAAGUGCAGCUGGUGUUAUAAAAUGCAAGAGGAGAGCUUGAAGGAUGUUUGGUACGUUUGCAAUUUCAGGCACCUCUCAUUGCCAAAGAUUGAUUGUAAUAGAAAUAUUGGAGCAAGCUGAUUGAAGAGAUCCUUUUAUUGGGCAAGCUUCUCUCUUGCUAUGGCAGGAGGAUGAUUUUUGUAUAGAAUUGUUGUACGUAUAAAGAUGAUGACUUUCAUUUUUCAUGCAAUA